GUAGUUAAGCAUAACAGUUCUUUAUAAGAAAAUAUCAUUGCACCUGCCUAGAUUUGCUUCAUGAUUUUAUUUAGAUGAUGAAAUUAUUUGCCAAAACUUUCUGUUUGCAUUUCUAGGAAAUAACCAAAAUUUGUUUCUCUGAAUUGUCUUACAUUGUAUUGUCAUUGGUUCAGUUAUUUCACUUCAUGUUAGUAUUCUUACAUGUAUAUAACUAUAAUCAAUUAUCUAACAUGAAAAUAUUAUCUGUUAUUUAUGCAGUGAAGAAUAUGAAGGGUCUGCAAGAGAGGCAUUUCCAUGGGUGAGACACACAAGAGACUUCUCGCAGGGCGACACUCUAAAUUGGAGAACUUCGAGCUUAGGCAGGAAUCCCAAGAUUUUCGAAAAUGGUUGUGAUUCAUGGUAUACUCCAGAUCAUCAAUAUAAUAGCAAGUAUAAUGACAAAGAAAAACAGGGUCUAUCAAACAAGAUAAGACUAUCGGCCCAAAUCAGCAAUGCUCCGAUAAUUCUCAACGUGGAUUGUGACAUGUAUUCGAACUACUCAGAAUCAGUGAGAGAUGCAAUGUGCUUCUUUUUGGAUAAAGAAAAGGGUCAUGAGAUUGCAUAUAUUCAGUUUCCACAGGCAUUUGAGAACCUCAUAGAGAAUGAUAUUUACAGUGGUUCCUUGAGACUUAUAAUGAAGGUAAAUUUGCCCAUAGCCAGAGAUUUUGAGCACCCUUUUCAUUAAUUUGAUUUCAUAAGACCAAACCAAUGCAUGUAUAUGAUGAUCCCAAGGUUGAUCUUCGAGGAUUUGACUCUAAUGGAGGGCCUUGCUAUAUUGGCACCGGGUGCUUUCAUAGAAGGGAAUCUCUUUCUGUAAAAAAUACAACGAGGCAAGUAAUAAAGUAUUACUCGAAUGGAAAAGAAAGAAUGAAGAUAAGGGAAUUAGUGCAGAAGAUAAGCAUUUUACUAUGAGUUCAAAGUACAAUUAAUACACCAUUCAAGCAGCUGAACCAAUGGAAGAGUAGGAAGAAGUUUCACUAUACUUUUUUUAGUUUUUCAAAUAACAUUCCAUUUAUUAACACUUUUUUAAUAAUUUUUCCUUCUAUUUUAAGAUCGAACAUUUUCUUUAA